GACGAACGCUGGCGGCGUGCUUAACACAUGCAAGUCGAACGGAGUGGCGAACGGGUGAGUAACACGUGGGUGAUCUGCCUUGCACUUCGGGAUAAGCUUGGGAAACUGGGUCUAAUACCGGAUAGUGCAAGAUGAGCUCGCGGCCUAUCAGCUUGUUGGUGGGGUAAUGGCCUACCAAGGUGUCGACGGGUAGCCGGCCUGAGAGGGUGUACGGCCACAUAGGGACUGCGAGACGGACCAGACGCGUACGGGAGGCAGCAGUGGGGAAUAUUGCAGAAUGAGCGGAAGUGUGAGGCAGCGGCGCCGGGUGGGGGAUGAAGGCUUUCGGGUUGUAAACUCCUGUAGAAAGGGACGCGGUACCUGUAUAGGAAGCACCGGCUAACUACGUGCCAGCAGCCGCGGUAAUAC
rnacentral:rRNA from 1 species